GGUUUACCUUACAAUUUGCGUGCUGUUGUUUUAAAAAUAUUUUGUUUAUUAUUGUAUUUUUUAUAGUUGCAUUUAGUGUGCCAAAAAAUAUGAAAAACUUGACGUUCGUGACGUCACAUACCAAACAAUGACGUCAUUCAAUAAAUUGCGUCACGCCCGAAUGACCGUUCUAUUGGACCUAUUUUGAGGAAAUAUUUUCUUACGCUUACAUAAAUAAAAACUGAC
rnacentral:lncRNA from 1 species